CCUACGGGCGGCAGCAGUGAGGAAUAUUGGUCAAUGGGCGGAAGCCUGAACCAGCCAAGUCGCGUGAGGGAUGAAGGCCCUGCGGGUCGUAAACCUCUUUUGUCGGGGAGCAGUUGUCCGGACGCGUCCGGGCCGGGAGAGUACCCGGAGAAAAAGCAUCGGCUAACUCCGUGCCAGCAGCCGCGGUAAUACGGAGGAUGCGAGCGUUAUCCGGAUUUAUUGGGUUUAAAGGGUGCGUAGGCGGGCAUUUAAGCCGGCGGUCAAAUGUCGGGGCUCAACCCCGGCCUGCCGUCGGAACUGGGUGCCUUGAGUGGGCGAGAAGUAUGCGGAAUGCGUGGUGUAGCGGUGAAAUGCAUAGAUAUCACGCAGAACCCCGAUUGCGAAGGCAGCAUACCGGCGCCCUACUGACGCUGAGGCACGAAAGUGCGGGUAUCGAACAGGAUUAGAUACCCUUGUAGUC
rnacentral:rRNA from 1 species